UCUCGCAGCUGGUUCAGUUACUACAAGACGCGCGUCUAAACGGUCGAUGAAACGGAAACACCUAAAACUCAAAGCAGGCGCGUGCCUUGGAAAAAUAGUAAACGAUACCAGCAAGAGAAAUACGAUAAUUUGAAAAGAGAAAUUUUUAGAAUUUGUGACCAAGAAGAAAUGUGAAUUACUAAAUACAUUUGUAACCUGAAGUGCACAGCAUGAAGUGAAGCUGGAAAAGAAAAAGCAACAAGCGUUUGUUGGAAACGGUUAUCAAAAAAAAAAAAAACAACAAGAAUAAAUCAAAAUGAAGCAAAAAACAAUAUUGAGUGUAACCCAAGAAAAUUUCCCAAAUCAGCGAAAAAAGCACGAAAAUCUACGUUGAAAUGGAACCAAAUAACAAUAAAAGAAGUAGUAGUAAAAGUCUCAGUUAUCAUUUGCUGACCUUCAUUAGCUACUCUUCCAACUAAACAGAAAUAAGCAACACCAAUUAGGACAAUAUGACACGCGUUCGGCAAAUUGUGGGAACAAAUACAGUUUAGGCAAGCACUUGGUGUGAAGACAAGUUUCCGGACACUGACGCAGGAAAAUCGAUUCUCACGGAUUGAUAUGUUUAGACAUAGUGAAAUGAAGGCUGAAGACGAAGAACGGAGUGGACGCCCAAAGGAGAAUGUUAAUCACGAAAACAUAAAAAGUCCACAAAAUUUUAUUGGAUAAGCAAGCUCUGUGCAAAGUGGGUGCAGCGCGAACUCACUUUUGAGGAAAAACGUAGAAGUGUUGAUGAUUCGUAGCAGUCUUUAGAGAUGUUGAAGCGUAAUAAACCCGGGAUUUUGCGUCGAUGUAUAACAAUGGGUGAAACAUGGCUACAUCAUUUCAUUGUGAAGUCUAAUCGACAGUCAUCGGAGUUAACUGCACACAAUAAACGCGCUCCAAACUAUGUUAAAUAAACGAAAACGACGUUUGCCAAAAGAUGUGUUUUACUAUCACAAGCCGGGGACUUUUUAAUUGAGCUUUUAUUCCAGAACUAGUGCGAGGGUUAUGAAAGCAUCAAAUUGAAAAUCGAUGCGAUGAGUGGCUCCAUCUAUGGCACACUAUGCCCGCUCCGUAGCCACUCAAGCGGCUGACAGAGACAAUGCAAGCAACACCUCCACCAGCACCACAGUCGGUGGCAAUGUGCUGGUGUUGGUUUAUAACUAUGACAUCUACUACUGCCAAGUACCACGCUCUAUCAAUCAUGUGUACCGCUAACGCGCGAUGCAGAGCCUGGCAUCCGCUACAACGGCAUACCCGAUUGGCUAUAUGAAGCACUGAUCAAUGUCUAACUGGAUGUGCUAUCUUCCGCACUGCUUUUCACACACACACAUGAAUUUAAAGUGUAGAACGUAAUUGGAAUACCAAAAAUAUGCGGCGUUCAGCACGUUCUUCGAUGACCAUUUGCUCAAUCAACUUCUUCACCGGCCUACUCAUCAUUGCUGUUGUUGCUGGCCUUGCUACGGCUCCUGCUGCUGAUGCCUACUGCCGCUGCCUGCUUCUUGUGCUUUGUAGAAGAAAUCCUGCACUUAAAUAAUACAAUUUGGCUUUCGGAGAAUGUACACUUAAUGUUCCAAGAUGUGUUCAAUGACUCGCUAAUGCAUUUCGCUUGGUAUGAUACAACAACUGGCAGCAAUGCGAAUGCGUAUCUCUAUUCGGAAAUCAGAUCAUCAAGGAUUGCGCCACUAUAGUCUCACAAAACGGUCAUCGCACAGCGAUAACCCUGCGCACACGGAAACUACCAUGAAGCGACUAGGUAGUGCCACACCAACUUGGGUCACCGCAAUAAUAGGACACGAUCACAUUUGUAAAGUUUUGUUACAAGACGGUGAUUUUUUGGAUUCCGUACGCUGAGUGACGUUGCAACGCCAUGCCUCGAGACGACGUCUGUGACUGAACUCUUGACCUAACUACGCUGAUAGAAGAGAGAAAAAUUUCUUUGUUAAAAAAUAGGACAUUUAAAAAAAGUAUUACAAAAAUCAUGCGUCAAAAGUUUUUUCGAAAAAAUAUUAUUGAAAUUCAUAUUAUGACAUACAUAUCGGCACUUAAAUUGCAAAACCCUGUAUCAUAAAAAAAAUUUGAAAUAAAUAUUGCAUACUAUAUAUGUAUCACUAACUUUUAAGCUUCCGCUGACCAAUAUAUCCAAUAUAUAAUCAUUUCAUAACCAAAACACACUUUUGGUUUCAAUAUCAGUGGCUUCUAUUAUAUAGUUUUUAAUUCGUCUGUAAACUUAUGAAAAGUGAUGUUAAGUUAUUUUGCAUUUUAGGAGACGAUAUAUACAGAUUAAUUUAUGUUAUAGUAAUUUCUAAGUUAUUGAAAAAGUGUUAGCGGAGAGUUGAUUGAAAAAGUAAAAUAAAAGAGUUAUGAAUAUUUUAAAAACAAU